CUCCCCUCGGCAGGGGGCACGGUGGUGUCCUGGCACCCUGCUCGAGGGGGAGUGGCAGAGGGUUUCGCGUUGGCAGCCGAGAGGGUCUGCUGCUCCUUACGGUCUUUCUCCAGGACAGAAACCACUAGGGACUUCCCCUUCUCUGUGAGCGACUCUAAUGCAAACGGUGCUGGACAAGACGCACCUGAGUGAAGGAGGAGGAUCCAUAGACACUGUUGGUGGUCCUGUAGCAGUACUUGCGCAACAAGGAUAAAUCUGUAUGGCUAGUCUCUGUUGAUGUCUACAAAAGGCCUGAAUCUGCGGGCGGACGCUGACUGGUGUGGGCACGCUAAAGAGGAAGAGAUGGCAUGACACCGGAAAAGGGACAAAAGGGCACCAUCUUCCUGUUUACGUGAGGAGGGAAACUAUGGCCCAACCAAUGGCCCUUUUUGACUAUCCAAGAAAUCUUUUCCAAGAAAUCUACUACCAGUAAGGUGGAGACACUUUCUCUGAUUUUCUUUCUUUCUCUGUUGCAAACUACUUAGUCUGCAUCUAACAUGGAGGCCCAGUUCCCUUCUGCACAUAAGAGGAAUUCAUAACCAACUCCUCUGUAUGAUACUGUACAGGCCGAGCCAGAUCUCUGCUCAACUACUGGUGCUUCUUUGAAGAUUCAAACUUCCAUGUUGGAUUCAUUAUAAUAAUUGGUGGUGGAGUGGGCGGGGUGGGCUUCUUCUGCGGUUGGCAGCGGAACUGGUACAGCUGAAGCGAGGCCUCGGUGAAGGGCUUGUAGUCGGCCCUCUGGGUGCUCUGCAGCACUCUUCCUGGCUGAAGGGGCAUCAACAGGAGGAGAGUGGGUAGACCCAGAGACAGAACCAUGAGGACGGACAUGAGGACCCAGAUAGAUGAGAUUCUUCAGUGAAGGAGUGCUUGUAGAAGACGUUGACGUUGGCUGCGUAGUCCAGUGGAAGUAUGGCAGCGAUGUUCUCCGCGCCGAGCUUGGCGCCACCCAGGGCGGACGACUGCCGCAAGGUCAUCAGGCUAU